CUACGGGUGUGCUGAGAGAGACCACCCUGGUGUCUACGCCAAGGUCUGCCUCUUCAACGAGUGGCUGGAGAACACCAUGGCCAGCUAUUAAGUCUGAUCCUGCGACCACCAUCUUAUUCUGUUGCCUUUCUUCUAUCAUUUUAACUUCAUUGUUGUCGUUAAGUUUUGAACAAUGUGCAGUCAUUUUCCAUCUGAGUCAAUAAAGUCUUUGGUCUUAACUUUUAAA